UGCACAUGCGCCAAAAUACUACGUCAUGACGGCGCACUACUUCACCAGAGUUUGAAAAAUGCACUUUCAGCCAUCUUUCUGUAAUCACGAUGCGUGAGGCAACUUUGCUGAUCAAAGAAGAAGAAAACAAAGGAGCGCACGUUUGGAUGACUACAGAUGAGACGUUAUGUACUACAAAUAAAGAGGCAAUUAUAUAUUCAUUUUGUAGGAUCAGUACAGAUUUGUUAUUGGAGAUACAGUGCAAGCUGUGUGGAAUCAAAGACCCGUAUUGAUGAGGCCAGUGUCAGUGAAGAUGGUGUGGUCACUGGAAUCCUGGUGUUUUUGGGAAAUGUGAAGGAGCCUCUCCCAGGAUUCUACUACAGUGUUGUCCUGAUGACUGAGGUAAUU